rnacentral:lncRNA from 10 species
GCGUAAUGCAACGUUCUAGGAAAGAGAGUAUUUCUUCUGGGUGUGGCCAACCCGGAUUUGUAGUUCCCAGGCCGGUGUUCCCGUAUGGUCUCACUCUGUCAUGCAUGAUGGACUGCAGUGGUGCAAUCAUGGCUCACUGUAGCUUCGACCACCCUGGCUCCGGUCAUCAUCCUACCUCAGCCUCCCAGUGGUGUCAGUCAUCAACCUUGUGAUCACUGAGGAAAAGAUACAAUAAUCCUUGCCUAUCCGAACUGGGAUCCUAAAAAUUAUGGAACGAAUUGUAGAAACUCAAGCAACUUUCUCCAAAGCCUAGGGUUCAGCAAGAGUAAGCAAGAGGCACUGAGCCGCUGGAGUCUGCACAUUGAUAAAUUUACUUACAGUCGUAAAUAAAUUGCAUCAUCUUCAGCUAGUAACACAGAGUCUAAUUUUUAUAGCGGCAUACUUGCCUCCACGACUUUCCUAGACACCAGAAAGAAAGGCGAGAGCCAGCCUUAGCCUAAUCAAGAACCAUGAUCCAAAAAGGAGUGGGAGGAACCUAGCGGCCACGUGGGAAUCCCAGCCCUCCUAUUAAGCCUACCCUCUUUGCAAAUUGUGACUGUGAGCUCCUGGUUUACAGAAAUAUAUCCCAGAACUCAAGCAACAUGAGCCACUAUAAUUGUCUCUGGAAGGUGACCCAUUUGCAGAUAGGGACUUCCCUGAAGGUUGGGGCCCUCAUGAGCUAUGCUUUCCACCAAGUUGUCUCUAUAAGGACCAGUUCCAGGACCUCAGGGAGGAAAUUUCACUUUCUGCCUUGGUGGAAUGUGAAGUGAGUGGCUCCCCGGCCACACCCCACCCUCCAUAAAAUAGAAGGUAAAUCCCAACUGCCAAAAGCUUUUUGUCCUCCUCUCAGGGAUACUAAUUAAAGCAGUUGGGCUACUUUUUCAUGCAUUUCAUCUCAAGUUGUCUUUCUGCCUAUCUCCUGAGCCCAGCGAAAGAGUUCCUUAAAAUAACCCUCAAACCUCUGUAGUAAAGGACCACACAAAUAACGAAUGCCAUGAAAAAACAGGGCUAGAGGUUUCAGAGGAUGAGAAAGGAAGAGCAGCCAGAACACUGGCUGUCUAGGUAUGCUACUGGUGCCUGACUCUGCACCUGUGUGUGUCUGUGUGCUGUGUUCCAAUGGCAGAGCAUCGGGGCCACCAGAACUCUCUCAGCUACCGCACAUGGAGAGGGAGGAGUGAUAAAGAGAAAUCAAGAAACUCAGUUUCUUUGAAAUGGAAAUCAAUAAACUCAGUUUCCUCAAAGUUCAAAAUACAUGAGACUGCCUACCCUCCUUGGAAGGCAAGGU